UUCGGAGGGUGCGAGCGUUGUCCGGAAUCACUGGGCGUAAAGGGCGCGUAGGCGGCGCGAGCAGUCGAUCGUGAAAGUCCGGAGCUCAACUCCGGAUCGGCGGUCGAUACUCUCGUGCUUGAGCACUGUAGAGGCAGAUGGAAUUCCGGGUGUAGCGGUGGAAUGCGUAGAGAUCCGGAAGAACACCGGUGGCGAAGGCGGUCUGCUGGGCAGUUGCUGACGCUGAGGCGCGACAGCGUGGGGAGCAAACAGG
rnacentral:rRNA from 1 species